UUCUUUGUAGCUCAAUGGUAGAGCAAACGGCUGUUAACCGUUAGGCUGUAGGUUCAACAGCCUAUCAAAGAAG
rnacentral:tRNA from 1 species